UACCUGUAGGCUGAAGGGGCGGACCUACGCCGGCCGACCACGCCUCCUCCCCUUGAGUAACAGUACUCCAACCCUGCCCCAGCCAAUCGGCCAAGGCCACGACCCUUCCCCAGCCAAUCGGCUGAGGCCACAGCCAUGACCUCACCAACUGCCCCUAGACCCCAAUAAAACUUUUGUGCUUUUGAAGCUCGCUCUCUCUCCCUGGUAUCUCACCGCUGCGUCGGUACAGUGACUGAAAGCAUCUCAUGGAUUUUGUUGUUAAAAGCAAUCACACUUUCUGCAAGACUUGCUUCCUUCGCCACAUCUCUUUAAUUCCAAUUUUCUACAUCAGGUCUGAUACCAUCUGGAAUAGAGGAUGAAUUGAAUGCUGCGAACCUUUAAAUUAGCUUGAUAUUUCUAAAAACUAAGAGGAAAAGUUUUUACAUUCUUCAAGGUUGCAAGAAAGAAUAAUAAAAUGUUUCUCUUACACGGCAGACCGAGAAUUGUCAACUAAGAUGCAAUUGCAAUAAUUAUUACUGAUGAGGAUGCAAAACACAGAAAUAGCAUUACUUGCUGACGGAUCACAGGGCUAGUGUGGGGUACUAGAAGCAACAAAAAUUACAUUUCCCCUUGAAUAGAAAAUAAACUUUCUAUGGAAAUCUCUGA